rnacentral:rRNA from 1 species
GCAGCCGCGGUAAUACGGAGGAUGCGAGCGUUAUCCGGAUUUAUUGGGUUUAAAGGGUGCGUAGGCGGGAUAUUAAGUCAGUGGUGAAAUCACGAAGCUCAACUUCGUAACUGCCAUUGAAACUGGUAUUCUUGAGUGCGGUAGAAGUGUGCGGAAUGCGUAGUGUAGCGGUGAAAUGCAUAGAUAUUACGCAGAACCCCGAUUGCGAAGGCAGCACACCGGGCCGUAACUGACGCUGAAGCACGAAAGCGUGGGUAUCGAACAGGAUUAGAUACCCC